UACGUAGGGUGCGAGCGUUGUCCGGAAUUAUUGGGCGUAAAGAGCUCGUAGGCGGCUUGUCGCGUCGGAUGUGAAAGCCCGGGGCUUAACUCCGGGCCUGCAGUCGAUACGGGCAGACUGGAGUUCGGCAGGGGAGACUGGAAUUCCUGGUGUAGCGGUGAAAUGCGCAGAUAUCAGGAGGAACACCGGUGGCGAAGGCGGGUCUCUGGGCCGAUACUGACGCUGAGGAGCGAAAGCGUGGGGAGCGAACAGG
rnacentral:rRNA from 1 species